rnacentral:rRNA from 1 species
GACGAACGCUGGCGGCGUGCUUAACACAUGCAAGUCGAACGGAAAGGCCCUGCUUGCAGGGUACUCGAGUGGCGAACGGGUGAGUAACACGUGGGUGAUCUGCCCUGCACUUCGGGAUAAGCCUGGGAAACUGGGUCUAAUACCGGAUAGGAGCCAUUUUUAGUGUGAAGGUUGGAAAGUUUUUUCGGUGUAGGAUGAGCUCGCGGCCUAUCAGCUUGUUGGUGGGGUAAUGGCCUACCAAGGCGGCGACGGGUAGCCGGCCUGGGAGGGUGGACGGCCACAUUGGGACUGAGAUACGGCCCAGACGCCUACGGGAGGAAGCAGUGGGGAAUAUUGCACAAUGGGCGCAAGCCUGAUGCAGCGACGCCGCGUGGGGGAUGACGGCCUUCGGGUUGUAAACUCCUUUCGCUAGGGACGAAGCUUUUUGUGACGGUACCUAGAUAAGAAGCACCGGCUAACUACGUG